rnacentral:rRNA from 1 species
UACGUAGGGUCCGAGCGUUUGUCCGGAAUUACUGGGCGUAAAGAGCUCGUAGGUGGUUUGUCGCGUUGUUUCGUGAAAACUCACAGCUCAACUGUGGGCGUGCGGGCGAUACGGGCAGACUAGAGUACUGCAGGGGAGACUGGAAUUCCUGGUGUAGCGGUGAAAUGCGCAGAUAUCAGGAGGAACACCGAUGGCGAAGGCAGGUCUCUGGGCAUUAACUGACGCUGAGGAGCGAAAGCAUGGGGGAGCGAACAGG